UCAAUAAUUAAGUAAUUUAAUACGACAAAAUUAUAAGCUUGUAUUUAUGGAAUGAAUCCCUAAUUAUAUGAUUUACUCGUUUAUUGUUCUUCCAAAAUCCAAUCCAAGCGCUUAGAAUCCAUGGUUGCCUCUAACCAUCCGCUCUAGACCACUUGCGAUUAAAUUGAAAUUGAGCCCUUUUUCGGUAUUUUAUUCUUCAAUUCUUACUUUGAACUUGGUCCUAGUUUAUCGAUUGGGGAAGAAACAUGCAACCUAAUAAUUCAGACUCGAUUGAAGAAUGGGUGGUUGAACGAACACAUACAGACAUACAAGUGGAAGGGAAUCCAUUGUUCUUAGUUUCUCAUGCCGAUCUGUGAUUCAAAACUCAAGAAGGUGGUAUCUUGGAUCCGGAUAUUUGUAUUUUUAAGAGAUCCCAUAUGAAAGAAUGGUGUCUUGGGUUUGGAAAUAUUUUAAAAAUGGGGUGAACAACCAUCAACCUUAUGAAUGGUUAGUGCAAUGAGAAAUUCAUGUUUCGAUGUAUUCUACAUUAAUCUAUUAUAUCUUUUUUUUCUUUGAGAAUUAGGUAGCACUAUUUGUACCAAUUGACUUGAAUUUAUGCUUAAACUAGUAUGUUUAUCUAUGGAUUUGCAUCCAUUUUGAAGAUGAAUGAUGAGGUCUGAUUAUUCAGUGAGUAGCUGCUCCGAUGGAAGAUCAAAUUACAACGGUAUUAAAUUUGGUUAAAAAUUUAAGACCAGAGUUUCAAUGUUUCUCUGCAUAUCUUCUUUGAUAUGUAUGCUUUUAUCUCUUUGUUUCAUUGUUAUUACAUGUAUCUUGAAAUCUUUUCCAUUAUUCUUAUAAUUAUGCACUUAAAUGUAAAAGUUUCAAAUUAUGAAAUCUUGAGUUUUUUUUUUCA